rnacentral:rRNA from 1 species
CCUACGGGUGGCAGCAGUGGGGGAUAUUGCACAAUGGGGGAAACCCUGAUGCAGCGACGCCGCGUGGGUGAAGAAGUAUUUCGGUAUGUAAAGCCCUAUCAGCAGGGAAGAAAGAAGACGGUACCUGACUAAGAAGCCCCGGCGAACUACGGUCCAGCAGCCGCGGUAAUACGGAGGGGGCGAGCGUUAUCCGGAUUCACUGGGUGUAAAGGGAGCGUAGACGGCCGUGCAAGCCAGGAGUGAAAGCCCGGGGCCCAACCCCGGGACUGCUCUUGGAACUGUGCGGCUGGAGUGCGGGAGGGGCAGGCGGAAUUCCUGGUGUAGCGGUGAAAUGCGUAGAUAUCAGGAGGAACACCGGCGGCGAAGGCGGCCUGCUGGACCGCGACUGACGUUGAGGCUCGAAAGCGUGGGGAGCGAACAGGAUUAGAUACCCUGGUAGUC